CCACAUGGCCAAUUCUAAUUGGCCCAUGCUUUAGUAGGGGACAUCUAGUCACCUUGGGCAGCACACAUGGUCUUCAUUUUGACCAAAAUAGCAGCCAAAAACGUGUCCCAACUCCAGAAUGUUCAAGAAAGAGAGAGAAGCCCUCAUCUUCUCCAAAUUUCCUAAGCUUUUGGGAAAGAAAGAAUAGAGAGAAGUAACGAGAGAGAGAGGCGGACAAGCUUGAGAGUGAGGAAGAAAUUGAGGGAUUAAGUGUGGUGAUUAUUCAAGGUUAUGGAAGCAAGGAUGGAUCCAUUAGAGAAGCAAAAAAAAAAUGUUUUUGACCAAGCCCUCAAAUUUUCAAGCAAAUUGUUUCAUAAAAGCCUAAGGUAUGAGGCAGCAUAUACAUGUUGUGUGUGGAUAAACACUAAAGG